AUGGGCUGCUGCGGCUCCUCGCUGCGGUCGUGGGUCCACGCGGAGAAGCCGCCGGGGCCCCGGCGGCCUGCUCCCCCUCCCCCGCCGCCGCACCGCCCCUCCUUCUCCCUCAAGGCGCAGAAGGCCGCCCCGCCGCCGCCGGCGGCGCGCGGGGAGGAGGAGCAGGAGGUCCCGGUGCUCGCGGAGUUCUUGCUGGCGGAGCUCCGCGCGGCCACGGACGGCUUCGCGGCGGGGAAUAUCGUGUCGGAGAGCGGCGAGAAGGCCCCCAACCUCGUCUACAGGGGCCGGCUGCGGGGCGCCUCCGGAGGCGCCGCCCCUCGCGCCAUCGCCGUCAAGAAGUUCGCCAAGCAUGCCUGGCCUGACCCCAAGCAGUUCGCGGAGGAGGCCAAGGGGGUGGGCAAGCUGCGGCACCGAAGGCUGGCAAACCUCAUCGGCUACUGCUGCGACGGCGACGAGCGGCUGCUUGUCGCGGAGUUCAUGUCCAACGAUACCCUCGCCAAGCACCUGUUCCACUGGGAAAACCAGACUAUUGAAUGGGCUAUGCGUCUGAGAGUUGCAUACUGCAUUGCCGAAGCAUUGGGAUAUUGCAGCAAUGAGGAACGCUCUUUAUAUCAUGACCUAAAUGCAUACAGAGUCCUCUUUGAUGAGAAUGGUGAUCCACGCCUCUCAUGCUUUGGUCUGAUGAAAAACAGCAGGGAUGGGAAAAGUUAUAGCACAAAUCUAGCGUACACACCUCCAGAAUAUCUGAGAAAUGGCAGGGUCACAGCAGAAAGUGUCAUUUUCAGUUUCGGCACUGUACUCCUUGAUCUUCUCAGCGGAAAGCGCAUACCUCCUUCCCAUGCACUUGAUAUGAUAAGAAGCAGAAACAUCCAAGCACUAAUGGAUUCACAUUUGGAGGGGAACUACUCAACGGAGGAGGCUACUACCUUGGUGAAUCUUGCUUCUCAAUGUUUGCAGUAUGAACCAAGAGACCGGCCUGAUAUAAAGAAGUUGGUUUCCAUUCUCGAACCACUGCAAACCAAAUCAGAGGUGCCAUCUUAUGUGAUGCUUGGAGUUCCGAAACCUGAUGAACCAUCAAAGGCACCACCUAGCCCUACUCCACAGCCACAGCACCCUCUUUCUCCCAUGGGAGAAGCCUGUUCAAGGAUGGACCUAACUGCCAUACAUCAGAUUCUAGUCUCGAUGCAUUACAGAGAUGAUGAAGGGAGUAAUGAGUUAUCGUUCCAAGAAUGGACACAGCAGAUGAGGGAUAUGUUGGACGCCCGGAAACAGGGUGACUUUGCUUUCCGAGACAAGGACUUCAAAGCAGCCAUAGAUUGUUAUACUCAGUUUGUUGAUGUCGGGACAAUGGUGUCGCCAACGGUUUACGCCAGACGGAGCUUGUGCCACCUGAUGUGUGACCAACCUGACGCUGCCCUCCGGGACGCAAUGCAAGCGCAGUGUGUGUAUCCCGAUUGGCCCACAGCUUUCUACAUGCAGGCGGUCGCCCUGUCCAAGCUAGACAUGCAGAGUGACGCCACCGACAUGUUGAACGAGGCCUCACAACUUGAAGAGAAGAGGCAAAAGAGCGCAAGAGGUCCAUGA
rnacentral:rRNA from 1 species